rnacentral:tRNA from 1 species
GGGGGAAUAUUUCAAUGGUAGAAUUCUGGUCUCCAAAACCAGCGAUGAGGGUUCAAGUCCUUCUUCCCCCG